rnacentral:rRNA from 1 species
GAUAAACGCUGGCGGCGCACAUAAGACAUGCAAGUCGAACGAACUUAACCAUUAGUUUACUAUUGGAGCGGUUAGUGGCGGACUGGUGAGUAACACGUAAGCAACCUGCCUAUCAGAGGGGAACAACAGUUAGAAAUGACUGCUAAUACCGCAUAUGCCUUAGAAUCACAUGGUUCAAAAGGGAAAGGAGCAAUCCACUGAUAGAUGGGCUUGCGU